rnacentral:rRNA from 1 species
GACGUAGGGCGCGAGCGUUGUCCGGAUUUAUUGGGCGUAAAGAGCUCGUAGGCGGUCUGUCGCGUCGGCUGUGAAAACCUGGGGCUUAACCCCGGGCCUGCAGCCGAUACGGGCAGACUAGAGUUCGGCAGGGGAGACUGGAAUUCCUGGUGUAGCGGUGAAAUGCGCAGAUAUCAGGAAGAACACCGGUGGCGAAGGCGGCGACCUGGUCCUUGACUGACGCUGAGGCGCGAAAGCGUGGGGAGCAAACAGG